AUGAACGCUAGCUACAGGCUUAACACAUGCAAGUCGAGGGGCAGCAUGGUCUUAGCUUGCUAAGGCCGAUGGCGACCGGCGCACGGGUGAGUAACACGUAUCCAACCUGCCGUCUACUCUUGGACAGCCUUCUGAAAGGAAGAUUAAUACAAGAUGGCAUCAUGAGUCCACAUGUUCACAUGAUUAAAGGUAUUCCGGUAGACGAUGGGGAUGCGUUCCAUUAGAUAGUAGGCGGGGUAACGGCCCACCUAGUCUUCGAUGGAUAGGGGUUCUGAGAGGAAGGUCCCCCACAUUGGAACUGAGACACGGUCCAAACUCCUACGGGAGGCAGCAGUGAGGAAUAUUGGUCAAUGGGCGAGAGCCUGAACCAGCCAAGUAGCGUGAAGGAUGACUGCCCUAUGGGUUGUAAACUUCUUUUAUAAAGGAAUAAAGUCGGGUAUGGAUACCCGUUUGCAUGUACUUUAUGAAUAAGGAUCGGCUAACUCCGUGCCAGCAGCCGCGGUAAUACGGAGGAUCCGAGCGUUAUCCGGAUUUAUUGGGUUUAAAGGGAGCGUAGAUGGAUGUUUAAGUCAGUUGUGAAAGUUUGCGGCUCAGCCGUAAAAUUGCAGUUGAUACUGGAUAUCUUGAGUGCAGUUGAGGCAGGCGGAAUUCGUGGUGUAGCGGUGAAAUGCUUAGAUAUCACGAAGAACUCCGAUUGCGAAGGCAGCCUGCUAAGCUGCAACUGACAUUGAGGCUCGAAAGUGUGGGUAUCAAACAGGAUUAGAUACCCUGGUAGUCCACACGGUAAACGAUGAAUACUCGCUGUUUGCGAUAUACGGCAAGCGGCCAAGCGAAAGCGUUAAGUAUUCCACCUGGGGAGUACGCCGGCAACGGUGAAACUCAAAGGAAUUGACGGGGGCCCACACAAGCGGAGGAACAUGUGGUUUAAUUCGAUGAUACGCGAGGAACCUUACCCGGGCUUAAAUUGCAGAUGAAUUACGGUGAAAGCCGUAAGCCGCAAGGCAUCUGUGAAGGUGCUGCAUGGUUGUCGUCAGCUCGUGCCGUGAGGUGUCGGCUUAAGUGCCAUAACGAGCGCAACCCUUGUUGUCAGUUACUAACAGGUUCCGCUGAGGACUCUGACAAGACUGCCAUCGUAAGAUGUGAGGAAGGUGGGGAUGACGUCAAAUCAGCACGGCCCUUACGUCCGGGGCUACACACGUGUUACAAUGGGGGGUACAGAGGGCCGCUACCACGCGAGUGGAUGCCAAUCCCCAAAACCUCUCUCAGUUCGGACUGGAGUCUGCAACCCGACUCCACGAAGCUGGAUUCGCUAGUAAUCGCGCAUCAGCCACGGCGCGGUGAAUACGUUCCCGGGCCUUGUACACACCGCCCGUCAAGCCAUGGGAGCCGGGGGUACCUGAAGUGCGUAACCGCGAGGAGCGCCCUAGGGUAAAACUGGUGACUGGGGCU
rnacentral:rRNA from 1 species